UAAUACGUAGGGGGCGAGCGUUGUCCGGAUUUAUUGGGCGUAAAGCGCGUGUAGGCGGCCAGGUAGGUCCGUUGUGAAAACCCGAGGCUUAACCUCGGGACGCCGACGGAAACCACUUGGCUAGAGUCCGGAAGAGGAGAAUGGAAUUCCUGGUGUAGCGGUGAAAUGCGCAGAUAUCAGGAAGAACACCCGUGGCGAAGGCGGUUCUCUGGGACGGUACUGACGCUGAGACGCGAAAGCGUGGGGAGCGAACAGGAUUAGAUACCCUGGUAGUCCACGCCGUAAACGAUGGGUGCUAGGUGUGGGGGGUGUCGACUCCCUCCGUGCCGAAGCUAACGCAUUAAGCACCCCGCCUGGGGAGUACGGCCGCAAGGCUA
rnacentral:rRNA from 1 species